rnacentral:rRNA from 1 species
AUUGAACGCUGGCGGCAGGCCUAACACAUGCAAGUCGAGCGAGCGGCGGACGGGUGAGUAAUGUCUGGGAAACUGCCUGAUGGAGGGGGAUAACUACUGGAAACGGUAGCUAAUACCGCAUACCAUCAGUUGUGCCCAGAUGGGAUUAGCUAGUAGGUGGGGUAAUGGCUCACCUAGGCGACGAUCCCGAGCUGGUCUGAGAGGAUGACCGGCCACACUGGAACUGAGACAGGGUCCAGACUCGUACGGGAGGCAGCGUGGGGGAAUUGUGCACAGUGGGCGCAAGCCUGAUGCAUCCAUGCCGCGUGUGUGAAGAGGUCCUUGGGGUUGUAAAGCACUUUCAGCGAGGAGGCGUAACUCACAGAAGAGGCACCGUCUAACACCGUGCCAGCAGCCGCGGUAUUC